rnacentral:tRNA from 13 species
GGCUCGAUGGUCUAGUGGUAUCAUUCUAGCUUCGGGUGUUAGAGGUCGGGGGUUCAAAUCCCGGUCGAGCCC